rnacentral:rRNA from 1 species
GCGGUGGCACGACUCUCGACAAUGGAUAUCUCGGCUCUCGCAUCGAUGAAGAGCGCAGCGAAAUGCGAUACGUGGUGCGAAUUGCAGAAUCCCGCGAACCAUCGAGUCUUUGAACGCAAGUUGCGCCCGAGGCCGAUCGGUCGAGGGCACGUCCGCCUGGGCGUCAAGC